rnacentral:rRNA from 1 species
UUGAUUAUGACGUGCUUGCACUGAAUGAGAUUUUAACACGAAGUGAGUGGCGGACGGGUGAGUAACACGUGGGUAACCUGCCCAGAAGCAGGGGAUAACACCUGGAAACAGAUGCUAAUACCGUAUAACAGAGAAAACCGCCUGGUUUUCUUUUAAAAGAUGGCUCUGCUAUCACUUCUGGAUGGACCCGCGGCGCAUUAGCUAGUUGGUGAGGUAACGGCUCACCAAGGCGAUGAUGCGUAGCCGACCUGAGAGGGUAAUCGGCCACAUUGGGACUGAGACACGGCCCAGACUCCUACGGGAGGCAGCAGUAGGGAAUCUUCCACAAUGGACGCAAGUCUGAUGGAGCAACGCCGCGUGAGUGAAGAAGGGUUUCGGCUCGUAAAGCUCUGUUGUUAAAGAAGAACGUGGGUGAGAGUAACUGUUCACCCAGUGACGGUAUUUAACCAGAAAGCCACGGCUAACUACGUGCCAGCAGCCGCGGUAAUACGUAGGUGGCAAGCGUUAUCCGGAUUUAUUGGGCGUAAAGCGAGCGCAGGCGGUCUUUUAAGUCUAAUGUGAAAGCCUUCGGCUCAACCGAAGAAGUGCAUUGGAAACUGGGAGACUUGAGUGCAGAAGAGGACAGUGGAACUCCAUGUGUAGCGGUGAAAUGCGUAGAUAUAUGGAAGAACACCAGUGGCGAAGGCGGCUGUCUGGUCUGUAACUGACGCUGAGGCUCGAAAGCAUGGGUAGCGAACAGGAUUAGAUACCCUGGUAGUCCAUGCCGUAAACGAUGAUUACUAAGUGUUGGAGGGUUUCCGCCCUUCAGUGCUGCAGCUAACGCAUUAAGUAAUCCGCCUGGGGAGUACGACCGCAAGGUUGAAACUCAAAAGAAUUGACGGGGGCCCGCACAAGCGGUGGAGCAUGUGGUUUAAUUCGAAGCUACGCGAAGAACCUUACCAGGUCUUGACAUCUUCUGCCAACCUAAGAGAUUAGGCGUUCCCUUCGGGGACAGAAUGACAGGUGGUGCAUGGUUGUCGUCAGCUCGUGUCGUGAGAUGUUGGGUUAAGUCCCGCAACGAGCGCAACCCUUAUUACUAGUUGCCAGCAUUCAGUUGGGCACUCUAGUGAGACUGCCGGUGACAAACCGGAGGAAGGUGGGGACGACGUCAAAUCAUCAUGCCCCUUAUGACCUGGGCUACACACGUGCUACAAUGGAUGGUACAACGAGUCGCGAAACCGCGAGGUUUAGCUAAUCUCUUAAAACCAUUCUCAGUUCGGACUGUAGGCUGCAACUCGCCUACACGAAGUCGGAAUCGCUAGUAAUCGCGGAUCAGCAUGCCGCGGUGAAUACGUUCCCGGGCCUUGUACACACCGCCCGUCACACCAUGAGAGUUUGUAACAC